rnacentral:rRNA from 1 species
AGUGAACGCUGGCGGUAGGCCUAACACAUGCAAGUCGAACGGCAGCACAGUGAGAGCUUGCUCUUACGGGUGGCGAGUGGCGGACGGGUGAGGAAUACAUCGGAAUCUACUUUUUCGUGGGGGAUAACGUAGGGAAACUUACGCUAAUACCGCAUACGACCUACGGGUGAAAGCAGGGGAUCUUCGGACCUUGCGCGAUUGAAUGAGCCGAUGUCGGAUUAGCUAGUUGGCGGGGUAAAGGCCCACCAAGGCGACGAUCCGUAGCUGGUCUGAGAGGAUGAUCAGCCACACUGGAACUGAGACACGGUCCAGACUCCUACGGGAGGCAGCAGUGGGGAAUAUUGGACAAUGGGCGCAAGCCUGAUCCAGCCAUACCGCGUGGGUGGAGAAGGCCUUCGGGUUGUAAAGCCCUUUUGUUGGGAAAGAAAAGCAGCAGGUUAAUACCCCGCUGUUCUGACGGUACCCAAAGAAUAAGCACCGGCUAACUUCGUG